GGAAGGAGGUGACGGAGAAGGCGGACGACAUCGUGCCCGGAAACACCCGGCCUCGCCGCCGCCGUCAGGCUGAGCCCGCCCGGCUACCCUCAGGCACAGUGUUCCCUGCACCUGAGUGGAAAGAUCGGGAAAGAUCCAAAGUGACCCCGCACGUGCAGUCCAGACUGUUUCCCGCAAAGCCGACACCCUUGUUCUCUUCCGACUUCCGCCCAGGAGACAAAGACCUUUCAUGCAAAAGGAGAAAGAAGAGUUCGGGGAAACAAGUGUAGUCCCUGUCUUCUUCGGGGACAUUGAAUCAGUAACAAUAUGUUACCAAUGGAGGAGGUUCAUAUUUCUCUUUCUGUAAAGGAGACAGACACGCACAGGACACGGUUCUGUCUGUGGAAACCGUCUUCGUUCACAGAGUCCCGAGGAAAGCAUCCAAGAGACCCCCGCGAGGGGUGUGGCGUGGUGAGGGCAGAAGGCUGGCCCUGGGUGUGCAGUGUCUCAUCGCUGUCCCACCGUAGAAGAAGUCCAGCCUCCUUUUCAUCAAAUUGUCUUUCAGAGCACGCCCACCAGGUCACACAGCCCAUCAGAGUGACUAGGGGUCAAAAGGCACACCUUAUAGUUUAGAAGACUAUGGGGCCGCUGAUGCAGUCCGGUCAUUUCCAGAUUACUUCCUAGGACUUAAUGGGUCAUAAUUGAUGGAGGAAGGAAUGUGCGCUGGCACUCCAUUUUCACUAGGAUAAUGAUACGCUGAAGGAAUAAUGACUGGCUAACAGGAGUCACCAAGGUGAGAGAGCUCACAAACAUUCGUAUGUCUGUCUCCCGAG